CCUACGGGUGGCAGCAGUGGGGAAUAUUGCACAAUGGGGGAAACCCUGAUGCAGCGACGCCGCGUGAGUGAAGAAGUACUUCGGUUUGUAAAGCUCUAUCAGCAGGGAAGAACAUGACUGUACCUUAUUAAGAGACCCCGGCUAACUCCUUUCCAGCAGCCGCGGUACUACGUAGGGGCCAAGCGUGAUGCGGAUAUACUGGGGGUAAAGGUAGCAUAAACGGGAGCACAAGUCUGGAGUGAAAGGCCGGGGGUUAACCCCGGAACUGCUGUGGAAGCUGUGAAGCUAGAGUGCAGGAGAGGUAAGUGGAAUUCAUAGUGUAGCGGUGAAAUGCGUAGAUAUUAGGAAGAACACCAGUGGCGAAGGCGGCUUACUGGACUGUAACUGACGUUGAGGGUCGAAAGCGUGGGGAGCAAACAGGAUUAGAUACCCUAGUAGUC
rnacentral:rRNA from 1 species